AUGGCAUCUAGUUGGAAAUUGAUGAACAUUAUGCAGUCUCUCUGCCUUAGCUAUUAUGGCAUAGAUACCUAUCUUUCCCAUAUCCAAGCCUUAUCGGAUCUCUUUAUGAAAAUCUGGGAAGCUCAAUCCACGGACCCAUAACUAACCAAGAAUCUAGGUAAGUUCAUUUUUAAUGAAUCUCUUAAUUUUAGGAUUUUAAAUGAUGGACUGUUCAGAUUCUCGAACCGAAUUUGGGUCCCUGUUGUUGUAAGGGCGGAUUUUCUCAAGACCACCCACGCAUCCAAGCUAUCCAUCCAUCCCGAAAGUACCAAAAUGUACUUAGACUUGAAGUGUCACUACUGACAGCCAGGAAUAAAAAGGGAUAUAGUUGACUACAUCUCCUGAUGCCUUACUUAUCAAUAGAUUAAGGCAGAACAUUAG
rnacentral:lncRNA from 1 species